CUCUGCAGAGAAGAGUAUUUGAAAAUACUUCAGUGCAAAUACAUGGUGUUGCCAAGCACUUCUCCAGAAGUAUUGUACGCAGGAAAAAAAAACCAAACAAACAAGAAAACAUUCGACUAACCCCAAGUUCCCAGGAUAACAACGGGAAGAGAUUUGACCUUCCUAAACAAGCAUCAGUUAGCUUGGAUAAGCCUUAAACUCACCACCAAGAAUUACACUAUAUGAACUAUAGAUCAACAAAUCUGCUCUCCAACCCACCUAUUUUUCCAAACAACAAAGAACAGCGAUACGCAGCCAAACCCUGGCAGUGUUACCACAAAACGGCAAUCUGUACAAGGGUCACUGAGAGCCCUUUGCUCAUGGGGUAUUUCUAUUUCUUCCUAAAAACACCAGCGUCUGACAACUGUUCCCCACAGCCUCUGCAGGUACAGACUGAGAGACUCUUUGCCAUGGCCGCCGGGCAAGUGCCAGAUCCUCCCCACCUCGGAAGCCCAAACUCCACUCGUUUCUCUACUGCCCUAGGCAGAGAGUUGCAACAAUCCCACGCUCCACGCAGCACGUGGCUCUUAGCAGGAGGUAAGGCCACACCAUAAAUAGUGUUAUUUCAUGCUUUGACAGGACAUUCUGUGUGUGGCGAGAAUUAUGCCCUCCCCUGUAAAGACCAGUUUGCAAAACCCAGAAACUAAGAAUCAGCCUGGCCAAUUAUCAAACACUGAAAGAUCCUGACCACUUUAACUAGACAAGAUUUCUGUGCCUCAUUUUCCACAGGCACACUAGAAAAACCCCUUCAUGCAAGAAGGACACACACAGAGCGCUGCCUCCUGGAAAACUCAUUGACCACCGAGACUCUUCCAGAAACGUUCUAGAAAUGCGAGCGCUAUGACUGGCAUUGAACACUUCACAUCUCAGCAGGAGAUUUAGCAGCUAAGCAUCAUAUAACCAUGCAAGGAGUAAGAAUUCGCCAGGCAGCAAUCCUACCAUGGGAGUGGCACAUGACAAAUCAGGGAGAUCUCUUUGUGUAUCUAUUCAGUAGCAUGCACAAUAAAUGAAAUACCCUGCUGCUGCUCCCAAGAAGUGAAGUGUCUUGGAUCAAGAACCAAUGCCUUUCUCAUUCAGUUACCUACAGCUUCUCUUUGUCCAGAGGACAGGAGGUAGGACAAGGUACAGGUAAACCUGGUGACAUGGCCAAUUCAGUUCUUCUCCAGCUGUCUACACGCCAAAAUGGGAGAUCACAACUGUCUGAGGUAGGGAGAUUUGCAGAAUUUGGGGGCCUUUUUCCAGGCAGACUGUGGGAGGAGUUCACAGUCUUUUUGGAGGUGGAAAGAUUAUUUUGUGGGCAUACACAGCCCCUUUUGUACCAGUGGAAAGCUUUUACCAGUCAAGUAUUGGAAGCACAUCAUGAAAAGGAGCCACGCUUCGGGUAUGAACCUGUAAUAGCUUCCCCACUAACAACCACAUACAAACACUGAGACAAAAAGUUACAAGUUAAUUUCAUGUUCCUUCUUCUCCUAGUUUACUGUUAGAAAUAUGGGUAAGAAAUGUUAAGAACUGCAUUUAGCUUAUCUACAUUUUCUAAAUAAAUGUAUGGUGAGAGGAAAAGUUAACUAGCAAUAACACUGACAGCUUCUGGUUCGAAUUAGAUUGAAUGUAUGUCAAAGAAAAACCUGUAAUUUAUUACCUUCUCAGAUCUCUUCAAUGUUCUUUCUCUAUCUGCCCAAGCGCUCUAAAAUGAAAUGAAAUGUAAAAUCAGACUGAGAUUGUGGAGAUCUAAAGCAAUUCCAUUUUUGGCUGCAAAACUCUCUCUCACUGCAAUCCAAUCCCGCAGUAGUUCAAGCUCCUGUUGCAGUCCCACUUUCUUCAUACUCCCCAUUUCUCCCUUGUGCCAGUUUAGUUGAUUUAAGCAAACAGCCAUUCCACCAAAUUUUACAGAUGCAAGGAUUUGGAGAUUUGAAAUUAUCAGAGCCAUAUAAAUGAAAUCAAGGGGAUCCUUUCUUUUCAGAAAAAUCAGUUACAACUGAGGUUGAUUUUUUUCCACCCUACAAGCAUGGAGAAAUACAGCCUAACCCCAAAGGCUGACAGCUUCUAACAGAAGUGUCCUUCAGGCAGAAAUAACUUGGCUGUUGUUGUCUGGUACUAGGAUGCCUGCAAGGGACUGCGGUGUAAAUAUGGUGAGCACUGUCCUGCCAGUCAGAAGCUAAGUCAGCUCCUCCCUGUCAUGAAAGCAGCACUGUCCUAGAAGCCAGACAAACAUUCAGACAGCUAAUCCACCUGAGCACUCUCUUGCUCUGGCUACAUGGCUAGCAGUGCUCAAACUAGCCAAUUCAUGUCUUUGCAUCCCUUCUGAAUGUACUCAAGCAUUCUCUUGCAGUUUUGAAGGCACUAAGACACACGAGAUAUGCACGUACUUGAAACAAUUAUAAAACUUUUUCUGCUGUUUGGCUUUUCCAUUUAUUUAUCUUUCCACAGGAUAAAAAAAAUCUCAAAUUUUGCAAAACUAUCUGGAAAUCCUGACACAUCAGAUUUAAUUGAACAAUACGUAGAUAACAUACCCGAAGUGCAUCCAUCAGGUCUGGUUGAUCCAUGAGUUGAGGGAAAGUUGUUAAAAUAGGAUUACAGAUUAAAUCUGAAAUGGAAAACAAACACAUUCAAGGCUAAGGAAGAAACAGGAUGGUUUUCAAGGUAUCGACACAUCAAUGUAUUCAGCACAUCCCCUGCCCUCAGAUUACUUCAGAGGAAAAAUUAGCUGUAACAGUACUCCAGAGCAGCAGGGAAUGUAGAAAAGCUCUCUAACAACUGCACUCUCUGACUGUAGCAAACUCUCAGUGGCUGAGAGACAGAGUUAACCUGAGAGACAAGAGACAAAAACCGAUUGCUGUUUUAUUAGGAGAAGCCAGCAAGCAAGAGGCCUUACUGAUUUAACCUAGGGGUAGACUGAGGUGUUUUUCCUCAUUUCUGCACCUGUCUUUUUUAUAAACAUCUGAAAUUGUGCUGCCUUAAUUGGAUGUUAUGAAUAAACACACUUUCAUUCUACCUUAA